UACGUAGGGUGCAAGCGUUGUCCGGAAUUAUUGGGCAUAAAGAGCUCGUAGGCGGUUUGUCGCGUCUGCUGUGAAAAACCCCGAGGCUCAACCCUCGGGCCUGCAGUGGGUACGGGCAGACUAGAGUGCGGUAGGGGGAGAUUGGAAUUCCUGGUGUAGCGGUGGAAUGCGCAGAUAUCAGGAGGGAACACCAAUGGCGAAGGCAGAUCUCUGGGCCGUAACUGACGCUGAGGAGCGAAAGCAUGGGGAGCGAACAGG
rnacentral:rRNA from 1 species